CGCCUAUUAUUUCGGAGAAAACCUAAACCAAAUAUUUAAGUGUUUCCAGGUAACACGGGUAGCGACUGCUGAGACUUUUUACGUCAUCGCUGAACGAGAAGUGGUGUGUUCCUGUAGAUCGUUUUUUUGAAGCGGUAGCUUUUCAGUUUGCUUCGUUCUAUGUUUUCAACAUAGAAUAUCCAAGAAGGCCUUGCUGACGUUUGAUUUUAUUCAGAGGUUCUUCGGUGACAUAAACCCCAGAGGCACUAAGUCGAAAAAAGUAAAGGCAAAGACGUUCAUGCAAAAGUAAUCGGCCUUGCAAGAAGAGUGAAUCUAUCACAGGCGUUAUAUGUGCCAUUGUUAGAAAUUGAUG